rnacentral:rRNA from 1 species
GACGAGGGAUCCUAGCGUUGUUCGGAAUCAUUGGGCGUAAAGCGGGUGUAGGUGGACUUUUAAGUCAGAUGUGAAAUCCCAGGGCUUAACCCUGGAAGUGCAUUUGAUACUGAAAGUCUUGAGUGUGGUAGAGGUUACUGGAAUUGUUGGUGUAGUGGUGAAAUACGUAGAUAUCAACAGGAAUACCGGAGGCGAAGGCGAGUAACUGGGCCAACACUGACACUGAGACCCGAAAGCGUGGGGAUCAAACAGG